UACACCUUCUUCCUGUUUUCAUGCUUGAUCUAUGUUCCACUGGAUCAUCUUACGACUAAACCUUAUGGGGCCGCGAUGGGGAGUUCCAACUACUGAGCCGGCGAGAUUUUACGUGUCUGGUGGAUGUGGAGCGCCUACCGUAAUACUGUCAGCUGAAGGUGCUUGCUUAGGCAACUGCAUUUCAGGUGCCACUGCUCGCAACUUGUCUUCACGGUCACUACACCGAUGAAUAGGGAAACGAAAGUAUUCAUUCACUGAUUGUCAAAACUUUGCAAGUGGAUUUUCGCGGAAAAAAUUUCAACCGUCUUCAAUUGUCUGCCAACUGAGGUUAAAGCUGUACGAUUUGACUUUUUGUCGGUGGAAAUAUGGCAACAUAAAAUGAUAAAAAAUAAAACAUUUACAGCUAAACUAACAAGGUGAAAUAUAUUGGUGGAAAAAAAAUCGCAACACCGAAAAUAGUUAAUGCAGAGUAAUGAAGUUUCGGGAGUACGUUUAUCUAGGCAACAUAUUUAACUUAUUAACAUUUCAAGAUUACAGGUUAAUACGCCAUUGCAAAUGUGAAAUGCUGGUGCAUUAAAUAUGAGUGGAGAUGCGUCGCGUGGUUUCCCUUGUUAGUUUCUAUCGUAAUUUACAGAUUAUAAGGCCAUUUACAGCUUUUAUUUUUUAUCACGUUUAAGGUUGACAUCGCAAAAAAUUGACAGUAAUUGAUUACUAAUAAACGACUGAAAAUACCCAACCGGCUAUUUCUAUUUAAUAUAGAUAGUCUGGCUUUUAGGGAACCAUGUCAGGCUAAAUAUAACUUCGCGGCCGAUUUUUAUUUUUAAACCUUUGAGAAUCAUUGUGGAGUAGUAAUAGGUCACUGACAAGAUAGUGCAAAUUAUCAUAUUUUAAGAAUGUAUUAGUUGGCUUGUUAAUUUAUUAAAUCAAGUUGUACAUAUCAUAAACUGGCACAAGAGUUUCAUUUUCUGGUGUAUGUUCCGUCACCCACUGAUCUGCUGUUCAUGAUUAUGAAGUUGAGUUACAAUAUUGUGGACAGAAAUUAUUUGUUCUAGAUUUAUUUAUUGUUCCUUUACAUCUUUUCUGUACAUGGGUACAAUUCGAUAUUAUCAAGUCAGUUUGUAAUGAUAGUGUCACUAGAAGACUAUGUUUUCGAUGAUUUUAGAGAGUAUAGUCAUACAACAGAAUAAGAUCAUGUAGUACCUUACAAGUUUACAACAUUAAAUACUGUAUGUAGUAAAGAAUUCUACAUCGCAUAGGCUAUAAUACAAUAACAUGACAGUACAAGAACAAGACAUUGCUAAUGAGACAACUAUAUACAUAGGCCAUAAUAUGGUAGUGAAGAAGUGUAGUGUAUAAAAAUAAAGAGUUCAUGAGUAUAAUACAUAACAGAAUGUGGAACUGUAUAAUUAAUGUGCAAAAACAAAACUGAGGCAAGAUAGACCUCUAUUAGCAGGGAAAACACUUUACAAGUAGUUACCACGUCAGGGCCUAUGUGAUACAGUUGUCUCAGUACUGUCUUAUUCUUGUAUUGUCAUAUUUUUAUAGUAUCUUACUCUUGCAUUGUAGCCUCUGUGUUUAGAAUUUUUAGUUGUAUACCUACACUGCUUCAUGUUGAAAACUUAUAAUGUAUCCAAUGACUUUACUGUUAUUUAUUGACCUUGACCUUAAUACCAGCAUUAUUGUAUAAUUCUGAAUUGUCCCAAGCUCACUUAAAACUUGUUUGGUAAUAUACGCUUUCACCAAAUGAUGUACACUGCUAAGUGAAACAGAAUAUUCCAUCUGGCUGCUAUUCAUUUUAAAUGAAGCAUUUCUAGUCUUACAAUAUCAUUGACUACCAUCUUUCAGUGUGUUUCUGUGAAGUUUCCAUGCACAAUUUAAUGUUUAACCCAUUCAAAUAAGCAAGAUUGUUUAUUAUCUGUCUCCAAAUGUAUUUGGAUUCCAGCUUCUACUCCUAAGCACAACAUAGAGUACAUAUGUUGCAACAUUUGAUUGUGUGACUUAGUCCUAUGGAGUAUGUUACUGCAUUUUAUUCUGUCGAGAGGUUUAGCCUUGGUAAGUUUUUAAGUCUGUACAAGUCAGCUACUGAAACAAUGGGCAAUGUGGAAUACCUCCACUUGCUACAAUUCCACUCAUUAAAUAUAUUUUUCUUUUGCUGUUUUCUACUAUACAUGUAAUGCAUAUACUAUGAAUACAAAAAAUUGUUAAAUCCUUAUCCAUGCUGUAUUUCUUUAAACUUUAUUAUUCAGUCUAAGUUAUCAGAUGACUGAUAAUAAUCAUAUAACCAGUUUUUAAGGAAACAUUUUCUUUGAUGAAAUGUUGUAAAUUUAUGAUAAUUCACAAAAACCAUGUGCUUUUCAAAAUUUGACCCAGUUAAUAAUUAAUUGUUCUAAAAUUCACAUAAAUUGAAGUCUUCAUUCUCCUUUCCAAUGAAUAUUGUAUUUUUCCAGAAAUUGUAUGUUUAAAAAAUUAUUGUAUUCUGGGAUAUUUGUAUCUUAAAAUAUAAUUGUGUCAAAAU